rnacentral:rRNA from 1 species
AGGGCACCACCAGGAGUGGAGCCUGCGGCUUAAUUUGACUCAACACGGGGAAACUCACCCGGCCCGGACACCGUAAGGAUUGACAGAUUGAUAGCUUUUUCAUGAUUCGGUGGAUGGUGGUGCAUGGCCGUUCUUAGUUCGUGGAGCGAUUUGUCUGGUUUAUUCCGAUAACGAGCGAGACUCUGGCCUACUAAAUAGUUGACGCAUUGCCACUGUGCGCACAACUUCUUAGAGGGAUUUUCGGUGUUCAACCGCACGAAAUUGAGCAAUAACAGGUCUGUGAUGCCCUUAGAUGUCCGGGGCUGCACGCGCGCUACACUGGCAGAAUCAACGUGCCUGUCCUCCCCCGAAAGGGGUUGGUAAACCGAUGAAAAUUUGCCGUGAUUGGGAUCGGACAUUGCAACUAUAUGUCCGUGAAACGAGGAAUUCCUUGUAGGGGCGAGUCAUCAACUCGCCCCGAAUACGUCCCUGCCCUUUGUACACACCGCCCGUGGCUGUCUGGGACUGAGACAUUUUCGA